CGGGUGAGUAAUGCCUAGGAAUCUGCCUGGUAGUGGGGGACAACGUUUCGAAAGGAACGCUAAUACCGCAUACGUCCUACGGGAGAAAGCAGGGGACCUUCGGGCCUUGCGCUAUCAGAUGAGCCUAGGUCGGAUUAGCUAGUUGGUGAGGUAAUGGCUCACCAAGGCGACGAUCCGUAACUGGUCUGAGAGGAUGAUCAGUCACACUGGAACUGAGACACGGUCCAGACUCCUACGGGAGGCAGCAGAU
rnacentral:rRNA from 1 species